rnacentral:rRNA from 1 species
UACGUAGGGGGCAAGCGUUGUCCGGAUUUAUUGGGCGUAAAGAGCGUGUAGGCGGUUAGGUAGGUCCGUUGUGAAAACUCGAGGCUCAACCUCGAGACGCCGAUGGAAACCAUCUGACUAGAGUCCGGAAGAGGAGAGUGGAAUUCCUGGUGUAGCGGUGAAAUGCGCAGAUAUUCGCAAGAACACCAGUGGCGAAGGCGGCUCACUGGCCCGAUACUGACGCUGAGGCACGAAAGCGUGGGGAGCAAACAGG